UUGUCCUGUGACUGCGUACCUUUUGUAUAAUGGGUCAGCGACUUAUAUUCAGUGGCAAGGUUAACCAUCUAGGGGAGCCGUAGGGAAACCGAGUCUUAACUGGGCGUUCAGUCUCUGGAUAUAGACCCGAAACCAGGUGAUCUAGCCAUGGGCAGGUUGAAGGUUGAGUAACAUCAACUGGAGGACCGAACCGACUAAUGUUGAAAAAUUAGCGGAUGACUUGUGGCUAGGGGUGAAAGGCCAAUCAAACCUGGAGAUAGCUGGUUCUCCCCGAAAGCUAUUUAGGUAGCGCCUCGGACGAAUACUACUGGGGGUAGAGCACUGUUAAGGCUAGGGGGUCAUCCCGACUUACCAACCCUUUGCAAACUCCGAAUACCAGUAAGUACUAUCCGGGAGACACACGGCGGGUGCUAACGUCCGUCGUGGAGAGGGAAACAACCCAGACCGCCAGCUAAGGUCCCAAAUUACUACUAAGUGGGAAACGAUGUGGGAAGGCUCAGACAGCCAGGAUGUUGGCUUAGAAGCAGCCAUCAUUUAAAGAAAGCGUAAUAGCUCACUGGUCGAGUCGGCCUGCGCGGAAGAUGUAACGGGGCUAAGUAGUAAACCGAAGCUGCGGCAAUGUGCUUUUGCACAUUGGGUAGGGGAGCGUUCUGUAAGCGGUUGAAGGUGUGUGGUAACGCAUGCUGGACGUAUCAGAAGUGCGAAUGCUGACAUGAGUAACGAUAAAGGGGGUGAAAAACCUCCUCGCCGGAAGACCAAGGGUUCCUGUCCAACGUUAAUCGGGGCAGGGUAAGUCGACCCCUAAGGCGAGGCCGAAAGGCGUAGUCGAUGGGAAACGGGUUAAUAUUCCCGUACUUCUUACAAUUGCGAUGGGGGGACGGAGAAGGCUAGGUGGGCCUGGCGACGGUUGUCCAGGUUCAAGUGCGUAGGCUUAAGAGUUAGGUAAAUCCGGCUCUUUUUAAGGCUGAGACACGACGUCGAGCUACUACGGUAGUGAAGUCAUUGAUGCCAUGCUUCCAGGAAAAGCCUCUAAGCUUCAGAUUGUAAGGAAUCGUACCCCAAACCGACACAGGUGGUCGGGUAGAGAAUACCAAGGCGCUUGAGAGAACUCGGGUGAAGGAACUAGGCAAAAUGGUACCGUAACUUCGGGAGAAGGUACGCUCU
rnacentral:rRNA from 1 species